rnacentral:rRNA from 1 species
CAGCAGUAGGGAAUCUUCCGCAAUGGACGAAAGUCUGACGGAGCAACGCCCGUGAGUGAUGAAGGUUUUCGGAUCGUAAACUCUGUUGUUAGGGAAGAACAAGUACGAGAGUAACUGCUCGUACCUUGACGGUACCUAACCAGAAAGCCACGGCUAACUACGUGCCAGCAGCCGCGGUAAUACGUAGGUGCAAGCGUUGUCCGGAAUUAUUGGGCGUAAAGCGCGCGCAGGCGGUCCUUUAAGUCUGAUGUGAAAGCCCACGGCUCAACCGUGGAGGGUCAUUGGAAACUGGGGGACUUGAGUGCAGAAGAGAAGAGUGGAAUUCCACGUGUAGCGGUGAAAUGCGUAGAGAUGUGGAGGAACACCAGUGGCGAAGGCGACUCUUUGGUCUGUAACUGACGCUAGGCGCGAAAGCGUGGGGAGCAAACAGGAUUAGAUACCCUGGUAGUCCACGCCGUAACGAUUAGUGCUAAGUGUUAGAGGGUUUCCGCCCUUUAGUGCUGCAGCAACGCUUGCACUCCGCCUGGGGAGUACGGCCGCAGGGCUUAAACUCAAAAGGAAUUCGACGGGGCCCGCACAAGCGGUGGAGCAUUGUGGUUUAAUUUCGAAGCAACGCGAAGAACCUUACAGUCUGACUUCUCCUGAA